rnacentral:rRNA from 1 species
AUUGAACGCUGGCGGCAUGCCUUACACAUGCAAGUCGAACGGUAACAGGUCUUCGGAUGCUGACGAGUGGCGAACGGGUGAGUAAUACAUCGGAACGUGCCCAGACGUGGGGGAUAACGAGGCAAAAGCUUUGCUAAUACCGCAUACGAUCUAAGGAUGAAAGCAGGGGACCGCAAGGCCUUGCGCGUUUGGAGCGGCCGAUGGCAGAUUAGGUAGUUGGUGGGAUAAAAGCUUACCAAGCCGACGAUCUGUAGCUGGUCUGAGAGGACGACCAGCCACACUGGGACUGAGACACGGCCCAGACUCCUACGGGAGGCAGCAGUGGGGAAUUUUGGACAAUGGGCGAAAGCCUGAUCCAGCAAUGCCGCGUGCAGGAUGAAGGCCUUCGGGUUGUAAACUGCUUUUGUACGGAACGAAAAGGCUCUGGCUAAUACCUGGGGCACAUGACGGUACCGUAAGAAUAAGCACCGGCUAACUACGUG